rnacentral:lncRNA from 1 species
GACAGACCUUACAACCUGCAGCAGCAGUUGCUUUCCCAGAGGACCAAAUUCCUGGUCCCCACUGUUUGUUCAGACUUAGCUUCCUGCCAGGGGUCAUUUCUCUGGUUCCUUUCACCAACAUGCACAAGUGAUUAUGCUCUGUAAGAGCAGUUUUCAGGCCAUAGUGCUGACGGAACAAGAGCUAUGUGUGUUCCCUCCCCACGAACUGAUGCUUUUGCUGCCUGCAGUGCUCCCAGAAGUGAAGGCGAGGCUUGUAGGAAGCAAUCUCUCUUGUUAGAUUAGCCUGUAGAUUUCAGACAAAACAGACAAGUCAUUCUUCAGGCUAAAAGCCUAUCUAUUUUUUUUUUCCCAUUUGUAUCAGCGCUGUUUUUCCCAUCUUUAUCUGUGCAUUGCAUACAACCAGCUGAUAAAAGACAUGCACCGUGCUGUCCAACACUGAGGUGCUGCCUGGGCUUGGCAGCAACCUGUGAUCUGGUUGAGCUCAGUUGUAACCUGCCUCUCUCUGCAAGCCCCUUGUACGUAGGUGAUCCAUGUUCAGGUGGGCUCUGCCCAUCCGUCCUCCAUCAACCAGCUGCCUACAAAGGCACGAUGGCCUCUUCUCCUGGUACAGAAUAUCCCUGGAGGUGCCUUUCCCAGGCAGCUCAUGGGAACUGGGGUCAGAUACAGCCCUCUUCCUAUCCCCGUCCCUGGCUGCAACAGCUGGGAUUGUUUCUCUGCAAGUCUAAUAUGGUACGUGUGGUCCCCCUCCUGGAGCACUGCUGGGUGUAAGCUGAGCCCCAGAGCUGUCUGUAGGAAGCUGUGGUGGAGAGCAGUGCAAGGAUCCCACGGGCAUCUACUUUCCUGCUGCACCUUCUGCUCACACCCCCAAGAACUUCUGCCUUUCAGACCCCGCAGGAACCACAUUUAGGAGACCCCCAGGAUUCACCACACUGAAGCUGACGGGUCUGACAGACCACUAGGAUCACAGAAUGCCCCAAGUUGGAAAGGAUCUGUAAGGAUCAUCGAAUCCAACUCCUGCCUCCACCAGGAGCUGCACAACCAGAUAGCGUGUUGCUAGCUUGUCUUCGUUUAACCCAAGGAUGAAUUUGAGCCUUUUUGACUUGCAGUCUAAUAGAGAUGCUUUCUAUUUCUGCUAACAGAAUUUGCAGACAGGAUGUGGAAGUAUCCUGCCCUUCAGGAAUGAUGGGAUCCAUCUCUGUGGUAACGCUGAAUUGUUAGGUGGUGCUGUUGAAAAUGGCUUUUCUUCUGCUGAAAUACCAGUCUGCUGCUUCAGGUACUUUAUUUCCAGAGGUGACAUUGGAAUUUGCAGCCUCUUCAAUAAUGUCAGGUCUCUUUUGAAUGAAUUCUUGCCCAUCCACCUCCGUAGCUUAACUGUAUGAACUCAGAACACGAAUAAAUGAAUUCCAGAUGAGAGAUCUGCA